rnacentral:rRNA from 1 species
CACGUAGGGCGCAAGCGUUGUCCGGAAUUAUUGGGCGUAAAGCGCGUGUAGGCGGCCAGAUAAGUCCGCUGUGAAAUCUCGAGGCUCAACUUCGAGCUGUCGGUGGAAACUGUCUGGCUAGAGUCCGGAAGAGGAGAAUGGAAUUCCUGGUGUAGCGGUGAAAUGCGCAGAUAUCGUUUGGAACGCCAAUGGUGAAAACAGGUUGCUGGGAGUGUGCUGACGCUGAGACACGAAAGCCAGGGGAGCAAACGGG